rnacentral:rRNA from 1 species
GACGAACGCUGGCGGCGUGCUUAACACAUGCAAGUCGAACGGAAAGGCCCUGCUUUUGUGGGGUGCUCGAGUGGCGAACGGGUGAGUAACACGUGAGUAACCUGCCCUUGACUUUGGGAUAACUUCAGGAAACUGGGGCUAAUACCGGAUAGGAGCUCCUGCUGCAUGGUGGGGGUUGGAAAGUUUCGGCGGUUGGGGAUGGACUCGCGGCUUAUCAGCUUGUUGGUGGGGUAGUGGCUUACCAAGGCUUUGACGGGUAGCCGGCCUGAGAGGGUGACCGGCCACAGGGGGAGAGACAUACGCCCGGGACCCCUGGGGGAGACGGGGGUGGGGAAUGUGGCACAAGGGGGGAAAGCCGGAUGCAGCACGCCCGCGUGGGGGGUGGCGACCUUCGGUUAGUAACCGUUUUUGGCCUGUAAGGGUGGGUGGUUGAGGGUACGGGAUAAAGAAGCACGGGCUAACUCCGUG